GCUCGUCGGGCUCAUAACCCGAAGGUCGUUGGUUCAAAUCCAGCCCCCGCAACCA
rnacentral:tRNA from 1 species